UACAGAGGGGGCAAGCGUUAUUCGGAAUUAUUGGGCGUAAAGGGCGCGUAGGCGGCUUGGCAAGUGGAUGGUGAAAUCCCUCGGCUUAACCGAGGAACUGCCGUCCAAACUGCUUUGCUUGAGACCGGGAGAGGUGAGUGGAAUUCCCAGUGUAGCGGUGAAAUGCGUAGAUAUUGGGGAGGAACACCAGUGGCGAAGGCGGCUCACUGGACCGGUACUGACGCUGAGGCGCGAAAGCGUGGGGAGCAAACGGG
rnacentral:rRNA from 1 species